CAAGUUAGUCUAUAGGAGGGAGUUUUUAUUUACGUUGAAAUGUUGAUUGUGCGAUUCAAUCUGGCUUGA
rnacentral:tRNA from 1 species